rnacentral:lncRNA from 1 species
GUUUAUGAGAUCUAGGGUUUCUGGGGGUAUUUUUCUGGGUUGGCGAUUAUGGUUUGGUGAUCUGUAUCGUUUUUUGUAUUGUUUGAUCUCUUGUGAAGAUCAGUUUUGUAUUGAUUAGAUCUGUACAGAUCAACUGAUUUGUAUCAGUUGAUCGUUGUGUUUGUCAUAUUGUUACAGAUCUCAUAGUUUAUGAGAUCUAGGGUUUCUGGGGGUAUUUUUCUGGGUUG